rnacentral:tRNA from 1 species
GGAGGGGUGCCGGAGCCUGGCUUAACGGACCCGCCUCGAAAGCGGGCGGACCUCGCAAGGGGUCCCGUGGGUUCAAAUCCCACCCCCUCCGCCA